rnacentral:other from 1 species
UCCAACCUGGGGUGUUUGCUUAUCGACUGAUUCCCUGAGCCGAUAAUUUCCAUUUGGAGGCUACUCGUUUCACUGUGAGCAUGUCCGCUUGACGGAAAGCCUAAUGUGGAGCAGUUCCCUCCCCCUUGAACCAUCGGGUUCAAGGUAAGGUCGAUGGCGGCAACCCGGGCCACUU